rnacentral:rRNA from 1 species
GGUGAAACCUGGGGACCGCAAGGCCUGGGGCAANNAGAGGAUCCUGCGUCUGAUUAGCUAGUUGGCGGGGUAAUGGCCCACCAAGGCGACGAUCAGUAGCCGGCCUGAGAGGGUGAUCGGCCACACUGGAACUGAGACACGGUCCAGACUCCUACGGGAGGCAGCAGUGGGGAAUUUUGCGCAAUGGACGAAAGUCUGACGCAGCAACGCCGCGUGGGUGAUGAAGGUCUUCGGACUGUAAAACCCUGUCGUCAGCGACGAAGGUUGGGGGGUUAAUAACCCUUCAGCUUGACGGUACCUGGAGAGGAAGCCCCGGCUAAC